rnacentral:rRNA from 1 species
GCAGUCGACGGCAGCACGGGUGCUUGCACCUGGUGGCGAGUGGCGAACGGGUGAGUAAUACAUCGGAACGUACCUUGUAGUGGGGGAUAGCUCGGCGAAAGCCGGAUUAAUACCGCAUACGCUCUGAGGAGGAAAGCGGGGGACCUUCGGGCCUCGCGCUAUAAGAGCGGCCGAUGUCAGAUUAGCUAGUUGGUGGGGUAAAGGCCUACCAAGGCGACGAUCUGUAGCUGGUCUGAGAGGACGACCAGCCACACUGGGACUGAGACACGGCCCAGACUCCUACGGGAGGCAGCAGUGGGGAAUUUUGGACAAUGGGCGCAAGCCUGAUCCAGCAAUGCCGCGUGUGUGAAGAAGGCCUUCGGGUUGUAAAGCACUUUUGUCCGGAAAGAAAUCCUCUGGGUUAAUACCUCGGGGGGAUGACGGUACCGGAAGAAUAAGCACCGGCUAACUACGUGCCAGCAGCCGCGGUAAUACGUAGGGUGCGAGCGUUAAUCGGAAUUACUGGGCGUAAAGCGUGCGCAGGCGGUUUUGUAAGACGGAUGUGAAAUCCCCGGGCUUAACCUGGGAACUGCAUUCGUGACUGCAAGGCUAGAGUAUGGCAGAGGGGGGUAGAAUUCCACGUGUAGCAGUGAAAUGCGUAGAGAUGUGGAGGAAUACCGAUGGCGAAGGCAGCCCCCUGGGCCAUACUGACGCUCAUGCACGAAAGCGUGGGGAGCAACAGGAUAGAUACCUGGUAGUCACGCCCUAACGAUGUCACUAGUGUUGGGAUC